rnacentral:rRNA from 1 species
UACGAAGGGUGCAAGCGUUACUCGGAAUUACUGGGCGUAAAGCGUGCGUAGGUGGGUUGGUAAGUCAGUGGUGAAAUCCCCGAGCUUAACUUGGGAACUGCCAUUGAUACUAUCAGUCUUGAAUACCGUGGAGGUCAGCGGAAUAUGUCAUGUAGCGGUGAAAUGCUUAGAUAUGACAUAGAACACCAAGUGCGAAGGCAGCGGGCUACACGAAUAUUGACACUGAGGCACGAAAGCGUGGGGAUCAAACAGG